CCUCAUUAAAUUUAUCUGGAAGGGCACUAAACCCAGACUCAAGUACACACAACUCACACUCCCCAAAACAGCAGGAGGCCUGGCCGUUCCUGACCUCAAACUGUACUACCAAGCAUGCCACAUGCAACGGGCCCUGGAAUGGGCAAAAGAGGGGAUUAGCAAACCCUGGAAGGCCAUCGAAACCCACCACGCAGGCAGGCCCCUUUCAGCCCUUCUGUGGCUGGACCCCCCGAUGGGUCGGCGGUUAG